AGGGAUCAUUACUGAGUGAGGGCUCACGCCCGACCUCCAACCCUUUGUGAACCAAACUUGUUGCUUCGGGGGCGACCCUGCCGACGAAUCCGUCGCCGGGCGCCCCCGGAGGUCUUCUAAACACUGCAUCUUUGCGUCGGAGUUUAAAACAAAUUAAACAAAACUUUCAACAACGGAUCUCUUGGUUCUGGCAUCGAUGAAGAACGCAGCGAAAUGCGAUAAGUAAUGUGAAUUGCAGAAUUCAGUGAAUCAUCGAAUCUUUGAACGCACAUUGCGCCCUUUGGUAUUCCGAAGGGCAUGCCUGUUCGAGCGUCAUUUCACCACUCAAGCCUGGCUUGGUAUUGGGCGUCGCGGUGUUCCGCGCGCCUUAAAGUCUUCCGGCUGAGCUGUCCGUCUCUAAGCGUUGUGGAUUUUUCAAUUCGCUUCGGAGUGCGGGCGGCCGCGGCCGUUAAAUCUUUAUUCAAAGGUUGACCUCGGAUCAGGUAGGGAUA
rnacentral:rRNA from 1 species